rnacentral:rRNA from 1 species
AGGGAAUCUUCCACAAUGGACGCAAGUCUGAUGGAGCAACGCCGCGUGAGUGAAGAAGGUCUUCGGAUCGUAAAGCUCUGUUGUUGGUGAAGAAGGAUAGAGGCAGUAAAUGGUCUUUAUUUGACGGUAAUCAACCAGAAAGUCACGGCUAACUACGUGCCAGCAGCCGCGGUAAUACGUAGGUGGCAAGCGUUGUCCGGAUUUAUUGGGCGUAAAGCGAGCGCAGGCGGAAUGAUAAGUCUGAUGUGAAAGCCCACGGCUCAACCGUGGAACUGCAUCGGAAACUGUCAUUCUUGAGUGCAGAAGAGGAGAGUGGAACUCCAUGUGUAGCGGUGGAAUGCGUAGAUAUAUGGAAGAACACCAGUGGCGAAGGCGGCUCUCUGGUCUGCAACUGACGCUGAGGCUCGAAAGCAUGGGUAGCGAACAGGAUUAGAUACCCUGGUAGUCCAUGCCGUAAACGAUGAGCGCUAGGUGUUGGGGACUUUCCGGUCCUCAGUGCCGCAGCAAACGCAUUAAGCGCUCCGCCUGGGGAGUACGACCGCAAGGUUGAAAC